rnacentral:misc_RNA from 1 species
UCCCCCGUGAGGGGGCAGUCUCGCCAGACACUUGUAACUGGCAACGAAGGUUGCGUUCGUUACCCCACUGAAGGGAACGAUUCAAACCACGAACUGACGACAGCCGUGCAUCACCUGUCCUACACCCUCGAAGGCUUUCUAGCUUUCGCUAGACGUGCAGUAGGAUUUCUAACCCUGGUAAGGUUCUUCGCUUAGCGACGAAUUGAGCCACACGCUCCACCGCUUGUGCAAGCUCCCGUCUAUUCCUUUGAGUUUUAGCCUUGCGGCCGUACUACCCAGGCGGAUGACUUAACGCGUUAGCUUCGCCUCGAAGAGGGUCGAUACUCCUCAAAGCCAGUCAUCAUCGUUUAGGGCGUGGACUAC